UUCAGUAGAACUUAAAAAUUAUUCAUAUUCCUUUUUUUUCCUUUCUCAGUAAGUCAGUUUGCUCUGGCCUUCUCUCUUCCUCUCUUCUACUUUCUGUUUUUCUGCACUCUUCUCCCUCUUUUCUCUGCACCAUUCCUUCCCUUCUUCCUGCAUCUGCCCUUCCCUCUUCUGCUGUUCCCUCUGUUCUCCUCGCUCUCUCUUUCUUUCCCUUGCCAUUUUUAGAUCAGCUCUCCUUACGCGUAUCCUCUCUUCCGUUUUGCCCUCUUUCUUCCCCCCCUCUCAUUCAUCACUCUUCUGUUCUUCCCCGUUACAAGCUCCUCUCUUCCCUUUUUUCUUUGUUCUGCUCGAUCUUUUCUCUCCUCUCCUUCUCUGCUCUCCUCUUUAUUGUCCCUGCUCCUCUCUCUGUCCCCACUUUUCCCUUCUUUCUUCUCAUUUAUUCACCUUUGUAUUCCCAGGGAGACUGCUCAGGAGACUACAGGAACGUUCUGCUGAAGCUCUGUGGCAGUGAGGAUUGAAGGAUUCCUGGGGUAUGUCCCGCGUUAUGGGAAGGAGGGGAUCAUAAGGAUUUCUCUCAGGUGUUUGUAACUGUUGGAGAAUAACGCUCUGAAGGCAUCACAGACUGCCUGCUUGUCUCUGCAGUGCUCGGGGCUGUUCUGAGCUGCAGGCUCGCUGCAGCCCCGUGGCAUAGCCUUGCAUCUGGUGACGGACUGAAGCUGGAGAAUCCUGGCAGCAGAGGACGCUCCUGUCCCACAGAAGGGCUCACAGCUCCACCGCAGCUCCACCGACCUCAGUGCUGGUGAGGAGGCUGAGAUGCCUCCAAGUGAUGAAUGCAGUCCACCCAACCUUACACCUCGUGUGGUUCACUGUG
rnacentral:lncRNA from 1 species